rnacentral:rRNA from 1 species
GACGAACGCUGGCGGCGUGCUUAACACAUGCAAGUCGAACGGAAAGGCCCUGCUUUUGUGGGGUGCUCGAGUGGCGAACGGGUGAGUAACACGUGAGUAACCUGCCCUUGACUUUGGGAUAACUUCAGGAAACUGGGGCUAAUACCGGAUAGGAGCUCCUGCUGCAUGGUGGGGGUUGGAAAGUUUCGGCGGGUGGGGAUGGACUCGCGGCUUAUCAGCUUGUUGGUGGGGUAGUGGCUUACCAAGGCUUUGACGGGUAGCCGGCCUGAGAGGGUGACCGGCCACAUUGGGACUGAGAUACGGCCCAGACUGCUACGGGAGGCAGCAGUGGGGAAUAUUGCACAGUGGGCGGAAGCCUGAUGCAGCAACGCCGCGUGCGGGAUGACGGCCUUCGGGUUGUAAACCGCUUUCGCCUGUGACGAAGCGUGAGUGACGGUAAUGGGUAAAGAAGCACCGGCUAACUACGUG